rnacentral:rRNA from 1 species
GCCUCAGAUCAGACGUGGUGACACACUGAAUUUAAGCAUAUUACUAAGCGGAGGAAAAUAAACUAACCAGGAUACCCUCAGUAACAGCCAGUUAAGAGGUAAGAACCCAGCGCUGAAUCCCCGUUCAGCGGCAGGCAUGGGAAAUGUGGCGUACAGAAGACCGACUCUCCGGCAUCGCUCAGGGGGCUCAAGUCCUUCUGAUCGGGUCUCACCCCGUGGAUGGUGUUAGGCCGGUAGCAGCAUCUGGCACGCCGGGAUCAGUUCUUCUUGGAGUCAGGUUGCUUGGGAAUGCAUCCCAAAGCAAGUGGUAAACUCUAUCUAAGGCUAAUAUGGGCGCCGGGCGGAUGGCUAACAAGUAUUGGAAGGGAAAGUUGAAAAGAACUUUUAAGAGAGAGUUCAAGAGAGCAUGAAACCAGUUGGAGGUAAACUGGUGGGAUCCAUGCAGUCUGCCCGCAGGAUUCAACACGGUAUUUAGGUCGGUUGCCUGGAAUGGUGGAUGCCCUCGCGGGACUGCGCCCCGGGCAGAUCCGCCCUCCGCAGGGCGCAUUUCCUCUGUGGCGGUGCACUGCGACCGGCUGGGAAGGCCACAUGGGGCAGGUGGCUCUCUGCUCCAGAGUGUUACAGCCCCCUGAAAGCAGUUUUUCUGUGUCCGGGAGCCGAGGGAGAUUGACUGCUGCAGUGCUCUUCUCCAGCAACCGUCCUGGCCUCUCUUGGCGGUCGCCGGGGUGGCGACGGGAGACAGGGCUCCAAAUGCGACUGUGGUGGACUGCCCUCAGUGCGCCCCGACCACGUUGUGCUGCUGGGCGGGGAGGCCAACAAAGGGCACCAGGGGUCUGAGGUGGUGUUGGUUAACCAACCGACCUGUCUUGAAACACGGGCCAAGGAGUCUUAACACGUGCGCAAGUCGGAGGGACAAAUGAAACCCUGUGGUGCAAAGAAAGUGAAGGCCGGCGCGUGCCGAUUGCGGUGGGAUCCCGUCGUGGUGGGAGCACUACCGACCCAUCUCUGUCAAGGAGAUGGAGCAUGAGCGUGUGUGAUAGGACCUAAAAGAUCGUGAACUAGGCCUAGUGGCAGUCCUGAUGUGUAAAUCGGUCAUCCGACCUGGGUAUAGGGGCGAAAGACUAAUCAAACCAUCUAGUAGCUGGUUCCCUCUGGAGUUUCCCCUCGAGAUAGCUGGCGCACAGAAACCCCAUUUUUAUCUGGUAAAGCGAAUGAUUAGAGGUAUCGGGGCCAAAAUAAUCUCAAACUUGGGUAAGAAGCUCGGCUCGCUGGCGUGGAGCCAGGCCUCGAAUGCAAGUGCCUAGUGGGCAACUUUUGUAAAGAUGAACUGGCGCUGCAGGAUGAACCGAGUGCCGCGUUAAGGCACCUGAUGCCGACGCUCAUCAGACCCCAUUAAAGGUGUUGGUUGAUAUAGACAGCAGGACGUUGGCCAUGGAAGUCGGAAUCUGUUAAGGAGCCCCAGGUAGGGUUCUCUUUUCUUUGUGAAGGACAGGGCACCCUGGAAUGGGUUCGCCCUGAGCGAGGGGGCCAAGCCUUGGAAAGCGUUGCGUUUCCGGCAGUGUGCGGUGAGCUCUCGCUGGUCCUUGAAAUCCGGGGGAGAUGGUAUCAAUCUUGCCCCGGGCCAUACCCAUAUCCGCAGCAGGCCUCCAAGGUGAACAGCCGCUGGCAUGUUGGAACAAUGUUUGUAUGGAAGUUGGCAAGUCGGAUCCGUAAUUUCGGAUAAGGAUUGGCUCUAAGGGCUGGAUCGGUCAGACUGGGGCGCGAAACUGGGCUGGGCGCCUGCUGCAGCUGGAUGAGGUUUCUCAUCCCCUCCCCUCGGGGCGGCGCCGACUGUGGGUGCGAGCCGGCCCUGCCUAUGGAUUGCCCCAGCUGCGGUGGACGCCUUUCUCCGUUCCCCUCCCGGGGUUCGGGACCGACGUACUGCCUCGGCCGACGCCUAUCAGCUGAUUUAGAACUGGUGCGGACUAGGGGAAUCCGACUGUUUAAUUAAAACAAAGCAUCGCGAAGGCCUGCAGUGGGUGUUGAUGCAAUGUGAUUUCUGGCCAGUGCUCUGAAUGUCAAAGUGAAGAAAUUCAAUGACGCAUGGGUAAACGGCGGGAGUAACUAUGACUCUCUUAAGGUAGCCAAAUGCCUUGUCAUCUAAUUAGUGACACGCAUGAAUUGAUGAACGAGAUUCCCACUGUCCCUCCCUACUAUCUAGUGAAACCACAGCCAAGGGAACGGGCUUGUCAGAAUCAGCAGGGAAAGAAUACCGGUUCAGCUUGCCUCUUGUCUGGCACUGUGAAGAGACAUGAGAGGUGUAGGAUAAGUGGUAGGCCCUCGGUCCGCCGGUGAAAUACCACUACUCUUAUUGGUUUUUCACUUACCCGGUGAGGUGGGAGGCGAGCCCCGUCGGGCUCUCACUUCUGGCUCCCGGGCGCCCGCCGUGCGCAUCCCGCUCCGCGGACAGUGGCAGGUGGGGAGUUUGACUGGCGCAGUACACCUGUCAAAUGAUAACACAGGUGUCCUAAGGCGAGCUCAGGGAGGACAGAAACCUCCCACGCAGCAGAAGGGCAAAAGCUUGCUUGAUCUCGAUUUUUCAGUAUGAAUACAGACCGUGAAAGCGGGGCCUUACAAUCCUUCAGACUUUUUGGGUUUCAAGCAGGAGGUGUCAGAAAAGUUACCACAGGGAUAACUGGCUUGUGGCAGCCAAGCGUUCAUAGCAACGUCGCUUUUCAUCCUUCAAUGUCAGCUCUUCCUAUCAUUGUGAAGCAGAAUUCACGAAGCGUUGAAUUGCUCACCCACUAAUAGGGAACCUGAGGUGGGUUUAGACCGUCAUGAGACAGGUUAGUUUUACCCUACUGAUGAUGUGUUGUUGCAAUAGUAAUCCUGCUUAGUACAAGAGGAACCGCAGGUUCAGACAUUUGCUGAAUGUGCUUGGCUGAGGAGCCAAUUGGGUGAAGCUACCAUCUGUGCGAUUAUGACUGAACGCCUCUAAACCGUAACGAUACUGCAGCGCUGUCGAACCCGGUUUGUCUAGGAUAGCCGGUCUCUGGGCCGGUGCUUAGAACCGCUCGCCUCGGCACUCAAGUGUGGACAGAAGGGGGCUACCUCUCUCGCCCGUAGUGCACCACAU